ensembl:lncRNA
AAAUAACUGACUUCCUGUUGGGAUUCGAAUUUCGUACCAAGAGACUUUUUUUGUAGGUAUUGGUGUGUUACAUGUGUGUACCGAUUUUUGUACAUGUACGUGAAACGUAGCUCGAGGCGCACUCCGUUGAAAAUGUAUAGGUGGCGCUAUCGAGGCAUUUUGCCACACCCGAUGGAAUAUUGGCCUUCAGAUUUGUUCAGGCCAGGACUCUUAUCGAACAUGUGAAGUUUGGGCAAGAUCGGACAUUUUAUGCCUGAGUUACAAUAACUUUUAUUCCCAUGGCGAGACAUCGAACUUUGUGACGGCGCCAUGGACACGCCCUUUAACGAAAACUCAA